UGUUAUCAAGCGCCGGGGAAGGGAGGGGCUGGAAGGAGGAAGCUCUUAAAGGGCCCGCGCCUAACGCUGGAGCCCCCUGCAGGACAGCUCAGGAACUGCAGGCUCGCGAGAGACGUCAAAAUGGGGGCCAGCCCCACGUGCCCCACCUGGCCCAAGGGCCUGGACUCAGUCUUAAGAUGUGCUGGAACUACGUUCUCACAUUUUUGGUUCCUUCCAAUGAAUGAUUCUGUCCAGCACAAGGAUCCACACAUGCACCCAAAAUAACAAGAAAUAAGGCCUGGUAUGAUCUCAUGCUUCCAAUAUAGAUGCCAUGGCAGAGAGUCACUAACCUCCCUCUGAAGCCUUCAACUUUGGGCCUGGAAACCCAAAUUAUUCUGAAGAGCUCAAGGAGAGGCAGGAAUUUCAGGUGAUGUCUCAGUGAUGACAACCAACCCUCCAGGUCCCUCCCUGCAGCCCAGCAAGUUCCCCCAUCCCUGUCCCUCAUAUAAAAGCAGUUGAGACCACAGAGGGUGUAUUCUGUCAUAGGACAUACAAGGAGAUGAUGACUGGCUGUUAGAGCAUUUGGUUUCUUGUUUGUCAUGGAAGAGAGGAAUGGAUGAAUUGUUCCAGUGUCCAUUAAAAUUUCUGUUGCCUGCUGUGUAGUGUCUUCUACGAAGGAGAUGAACCUGCUGCAAAUGAAAUCAGUUGAGGCUGCAUUGUAUUUAUAGAGCAACAGAAAUCUUUGUAGAUUAUUUUUUCCAAGAAUCAUGAAUCUCCUUCAGUGUUACAAGUCACUGUAAUCAAUUAAUAGGAGCCAUAUUUUCAUUUUCAAUUAAAAUAUAGGCCAUGCACAGUCUAUGAGCAUCCUGGCAGAUGUUUAAAAGCGUUGGCUCUCAGUGGUGAAAUGUUACCUUAUAUCUGUUGGGGGUGGUGAGAGGGUGUUCCAGGAAUGGAAAGACAUGUUAAAGUGCAGCAUUUCAGACUGUCUUCUUUUCUGAAUUUACAGCAUCAGACUGACAGUUGUUUAAAUGAAUGAUAGACUGCAAUACUCUUUUCCAAGCAGGCUAUGAAAUGAGGGAGCCUUCAGUUUUGUGCUGAUGUGUCCAGAAUUCAAAUAAUUUGUUUCUUGAAUAUAAUGACAAUCGGAAGCAUGGUAUUACCUUGAGAAAAGAGAUGGGAGAGACAGCUGCAGUACCCUGUACUCAUGAAAGAUAUUGCGUUAGCAACUGCUUCCCAAUUAGUCUCUCUACUGAAAACUCUAUUAUGCUGGGCUCUUAUUGCUUUUAUUCAAGGGCACAAAAUUACAAAGCGAUAUUGCUGGCAAUACUCUCAUCUUUCUACCAUGACACUGAAUAAUUGGACAAUGAAAGAAAAUGUUCAAUGAUGCUGAUAUUAAACACAUGUAUAGGACAAUGCAUUUGAACAUCAGCUGACGAAGUAAUGUCCAUAUUAUUAUGCUACUACUUCUACUACUUUGAAAUCACUUGUUUUCAUUUUUGUUGUUGGUGAUGGAACAUUUUAUUUUCCCGUUAUUGCUGGAGACAUGCUCUGUUUUAAGGAAUAUACUUGUGAAAGGGAUAUGUGUGAGAUGCUUCCCAAGUUAACCCCCUCACUGUAUUGGUGCUUUCUAUUAAAGGAGUUGGACGUC